rnacentral:rRNA from 1 species
UACGUAGGGUCCGAGCGUUGUCCGGAAUUAUUGGGCGUAAAGGGCUCGUAGGCGGUUAGUCACGUCGGGAGUGAAAACUCAGGGCUCAACCCUGAGCGUGCUUCCGAUACGGGCUGACUAGAGGUAUGCAGGGGAGAACGGAAUUCCUGGUGUAGCGGUGAAAUGCGCAGAUAUCAGGAGGAACACCGGUGGCGAAGGCGGUUCUCUGGGCAUUAACUGACGCUGAGGAGCGAAAGCAUGGGGAGCGAACAGG